rnacentral:rRNA from 1 species
UACGAAGGGGGCUAGCGUUGCUCGGAAUCACUGGGCGUAAAGGGCGCGUAGGCGGCUUUCUAAGUCAGGGGUGAAAUCCUGGAGCUCAACUCCAGAACUGCCUUUGAUACUGAAGAUCUUGAGUUCGGGAGAGGUGAGUGGAACUGCGAGUGUAGAGGUGAAAUUCGUAGAUAUUCGCAAGAACACCAGUGGCGAAGGCGGCUCACUGGCCCGAUACUGACGCUGAGGCACGAAAGCGUGGGGAGCAAACAGGAUUAGAUAACCCCGG